rnacentral:rRNA from 1 species
AUACAUUCUGCCGGCGACCGGCGCAAGGGUGCGUAACGCGUGAGCAACAUGCCCGUCUCAGGGGGAUAACCGGUGGAAACGCCGCCUAAUACCCCAUGGCGAUAUAUUGAGGCAUCUUGAUAUAUCUAAAGCUCCGGCGGAGACGGAUUGGCUCGCGUGACAUUAGCUGGACGGCGGGGUAACGGCCCACCGUGGCUACGAUGUCUAGGGGUUCUGAGAGGAAGGUCCCCCACACUGGAACUGAGACACGGUCCAGACUCCUACGGGAGGCAGCAGUGAGGAAUAUUGGUCAAUGGGCGGGAGCCUGAACCAGCCAUGCCGCGUGAAGGCGAGUGCCCUACGGGCGUUAAACUUCUUUUGUGCGGGAGCAAUAAGGGCCACGCGUGGCCCGAUGAGAGUACCGCACGAAUAAGCAUCGGCUAACUCCGUGCCAGCAGCCGCGGUAAUACGGGGGAUGCGAGCGUUAUCCGGAUUUAUUGGGUUUAAAGGGUGCGUAGGCGGCGCUUCAGGUCAGCGGUGAAAUACCGGGGCUCAACCCCGGGGCUGCCGUUGAAACCGGAGCGCUAGAAUUCCGAUGCCGUCGGAGGAAUGUGUGGUGUAGCGGUGAAAUGCAUAGAUAUCACACAGAACACCGAUUGCGAAGGCAUCUGACGAAUCGGAGAUUGACGCUGAUGCACGAAAGCG